rnacentral:rRNA from 1 species
GGUAACAUCAAAUCGUACCCCAAACCGACACAGGUGGUCAGGUAGAGAAUACCAAGGCGCUUGAGAGAACUCGGGUGAAGGAACUAGGCAAAAUGGUGCCGUAACUUCGGGAGAAGGCACGCUGAUAUGUAGGUGAAGUCCCUCGCGGAUGGAGCUGAAAUCAGUCGAAGAUACCAGCUGGCUGCAACUGUUUAUUAAAAACACAGCACUGUGCAAACACGAAAGUGGACGUAUACGGUGUGACGCCUGCCCGGUGCCGGAAGGUUAAUUGAUGGGGUCAGCGCAAGCGAAGCUCUUGAUCGAAGCCCCGGUAAACGGCGGCCGUAACUAUAACGGUCCUAAGGUAGCGAAAUUCCUUGUCGGGUAAGUUCCGACCUGCACGAAUGGCGUAAUGAUGGCCAGGCUGUCUCCACCCGAGACUCAGUGAAAUUGAACUCGCUGUGAAGAUGCAGUGUACCCGCGGCAAGACGGAAAGACCCCGUGAACCUUUACUAUAGCUUGACACUGAACAUUGAGCCUUGAUGUGUAGGAUAGGUGGGAGGCUUUGAAGUGUGGACGCCAGUCUGCAUGGAGCCGACCUUGAAAUACCACCCUUUAAUGUUUGAUGUUCUAACGUGGACCCGUGAUCCGGGUUGCGGACAGUGUCUGGUGGGUAGUUUGACUGGGGCGGUCUCCUCCUAAAGAGUAACGGAGGAGCACGAAGGUUGGCUAAUCCUGGUCGGACAUCAGGAGGUUAGUGCAAUGGCAUAAGCCAGCUUGACUGCGAGCGUGACGGCGCGAGCAGGUGCGAAAGCAGGUCAUAGUGAUCCGGUGGUUCUGAAUGGAAGGGCCAUCGCUCAACGGAUAAAAGGUACUCCGGGGAUAACAGGCUGAUACCGCCCAAGAGUUCAUAUCGACGGCGGUGUUUGGCACCUCGAUGUCGGCUCAUCACAUCCUGGGGCUGAAGUAGGUCCCAAGGGUAUGGCUGUUCGCCAUUUAAAGUGGUACGCGAGCUGGGUUUAGAACGUCGUGAGACAGUUCGGUCCCUAUCUGCCGUGGGCGCUGGAGAACUGAGGGGGGCUGCUCCUAGUACGAGAGGACCGGAGUGGACGCAUCACUGGUGUUCGGGUUGUCAUGCCAAUGGCACUGCCCGGUAGCUAAAUGCGGAAGAGAUAAGUGCUGAAAGCAUCUAAGCACGAAACUUGCCCCGAGAUGAGUUCUCCCUGACCCUUUAAGGGUCCUGAAGGAACGUUGAAGACGACGACGUUGAUAGGCCGGGUGUGUAAGCGCAGCGAUGCGUUGAGCUAACCGGUACUAAUGAACCGUGAGGCUUAACCUUACAACGCCGAAGGUGUUU